GAAAAACGUCUCAGCACAAAAAAGCAUGUGGAAAAAUGAAAUGGCCAACAACACACAUGAAAAGGCAUCAAAAUGACAGCACUAAAAACUUAUUUAUCUAUAAUUACGCUGAAUGUAAAUGGACUAAAUGCACCAAUAAAGAGACAGAGAGUUACGGACUGGAUAAAGAAACACGAUCCAUCUAUAUGCUGCCUACAAGAGACACACCUUAGACUUAGAGACACAAACAAACUAAAACUCAAAGGAUGGAAAAAAAUAUAUCAAGCAAACAAUAAGCAAAAAAGAAGAGGAGUAGCAAUAUUAAUUUCUGACAAAAUAGACUUUAGACUUAAAUCCGCCAUAAAGGAUAAGAAGGACACUAUAUAAUGAUAAAAGGGACAAUUGAUCAGGAAGACAUAACCGUAUUAAAUAUUUACGCACCUAAUGACAGGGCUGCAAGAUACAUAAAUCAAAUUUUAACAGAAUUGAAAAGUGAGAUAGACACCUCCACAUAUAUAGUAGGAGACUUCAACACACCACUUUCAGAGAAGGACAGGACAUCCAGUAAGAAGCUCAAUAGAGACACGGAAGACCUACUUAAAACAAUCAACCAACUUGACCUCAUUGACUUAUACAGAACUCUCCACCCAACUGCUGCAAAAUAUACUUUUUUUUCUAGUGCACAUGGAACAUUCUCUAGAAUAGACCACAUAUUAGGUCAUAAAACAAAUCUUUGCAGAAUCCAAAACAUCGAAAUAUUACAAAGCAUCUUCUCAGACCACAAGGCAAUGAAGCUAGAAAUCAAUAACAGAAAAACUAGGGAAAAGAAAUCAAAUACUUGGAAAAUGAACAAUACCCUCCUGAAAAAAGACUGGGUUAUAGAAGACAUCAAGGAGGGAAUAAGGAAAUUCUUAGAAAGCAACGAGAAUGAAAAUACUUCCUAUCAAAACCUCUGGGACACAGCAAAAGCAGUGCUCAGAGGCCAAUUUAUAUCGAUAAAUGCACACAUACAAAAAGAAGAAAGAGCCAAAAUCAGAGAACUGUCCCGACAACUUGAACAAGUAGAAACUGAGCAACAAAAGAACCCAUCAGGCACCCGAAGAAAACAAAUAAUAAAAAUUAGAGCUGAACUAAAUGAAUUAGAGAACAGAAAAACAAUUGAAAGAAUUAACAAAGCCAAAAGCUGGUUCUUUGAAAAAAUUAACAAAAUUGAUAAACCAUUGGCUAGACUGACUAAAGAAAAACAGGAAAGGAAACAAAUAACCCGAAUAAGAAACGAGAAGGACCACAUCACAACAGAACCAAAUGAAAUCAAAAGAAUCAUAUCAAAUUACUAUAUAAAAUUGUACUCUAACAAAUUUGAAAACCUAGAAGAAAUGGAUAAAUUCUUGGAACAAUACUACCUACCUAAACUAACACAUUCAGAAGUAGAACAACUAAAUAGACCCAUAACAAAAAAAGAGAUUGAAACGGUAAUCCAAAAACUUCCAACAAAAAAAAGUCCUGGCCCAGACGGCUUCACUGCAGAGUUCUACCAAACCUUCAGAGAAGACUUAACACCAUUACUAUUGAAGGUAUUUCAAAGCAUAGAAAAUGACGGAACACUACCCAACUCAUUCUAUGAAGCUACCAUCUCCCUGAUACCAAAACCAGGUAAAGACAUUACAAAAAAAGAAAAUUAUAGACCUAUAUCCCUCAUGAACAUAGAUGCAAAAAUCCUCAACAAAAUUCUAGCCAAUAGAAUCCAACAACACAUCAAAAAAAUAAUACACCCUGAUCAAGUGGGAUUUAUACCAGGUAUGCAAGGCUGGUUUAAUAUCAGAAAAACCAUUAAUGUAAUCCAUCACAUAAAUAAAACAAAAGAUAAAAACCACAUGAUCUUAUCAAUAGGUGCAGAAAAGGCAAUUGACAAAGUUCAACACCCAUUUAUGAUAAAAACUCUUACCAAAAUAGGAAUUGAAGGAAAAUUCCUCAACAUAAUAAAGGGCAUCUAUGCAAAGCCAACGGCCAAUAUCACUCUAAAUGGAGAGAACCUGAAAGCAUUUCCCUUGAGAACGGGAACCAGACAAGGAUGCCCUUUAUCACCGCUCUUAUUCAACAUCGUACUUGAAGUCCUAGCCAGGGCAAUUAGGGUAGACAAAGAAAUAAAGGGUAUCCAGAUUGGUAAGGAGGAAGUAAAGCUAUCACUAUUUGCAGAUGACAUGGAAAACCCUAAGGAAUCCUCCAGAAAACUACUGAAACUAAUAGAAGAGUUUGGAAGAGUCUCAGGUUAUAAAAUAAACAUACAAAAAUCACUUGGAUUCCUCUACAUCAACAAAAAGAAUACCGAAGAGGAAAUAACCAAAUCAAUACCAUUCACAGUAGCCCCCAAGAAGAUAAAAUACUUAGGAAUAAAUCUUACCAAGGAUAUAAAAGACCUAUACAAAGAAAACUAUAAAACUCUGCUACAAGAAAUUCAAAAGGACAUACUUAAGUGGAAAAACAUACCCUGCUCAUGGAUAGGAAGACUUAACAUAGUAAAAAUGUCUAUUCUACCAAAAGCCAUUUAUACAUAUAACGCACUUCCAAUCCAAAUACCAAUGUCAUACUUUAAGGGGAUAGAGAAACAAAUCACUAAUUUCAUAUGGAAAGGAAAGAACCCCCCGAUAAGCAAAACAUUACUGAAAAAGAAGAAAGUGGGAGGCCUCACCCUACCUGAUUUCAGAACCUAUUAUAUAGCUACAGUAGUCAAAACAGCCUGGUACUGGUACAACAACAGGCACAUAGACCAAUGGAACAGAAUUGAGAACCCAGAUAUAAAUCCAUCCACGUAUGAGCAGCUGAUAUUUGACAAAGGACCAGUGUCAGUCAAUUGGGGAAAUAAUAGUCUUUUUAACAAAUGGUGCUGGCAUAACUGGAUAUCCAUUUGCAAAAGAAUGAUACAGGACCCAUACCUCACACCAUGCACAAAAACUAACUCCAAGUGGAUCAAAGACCUAAACAUAAAGACUAAAACGAUAAAAAUCAUGGAAGAAAAAAUAGGAUCUACCCUAGGAGCCCUAAUACAGGGCAUAAACAGAAUACAAAACAUUACCAAAAAUGAUGAAGAGAAAGCAGAUAACUGGGAGCUCCUAAAAAUCAAACAUCUAUGCUCAUCUAAAGACUUCACCAAAAGAGUAAAAAGACCACCUACAGACUGGGAAAGAAUUUUCAGCUAUGACAUCUCAGACCAGCGCCUGAUCUCUAAAAUCUACAUGAUUUUGUCAAAACUCAACCACAAAAAGACAAACAACCCAAUCAAGAAGUGGGCAAAGGAUAUGAACACACAUUUCACUAAGGAAGAUAUUCAGGCAGCCAACAGAUACAUGAGAAAAUGCUCUCGAUCAUUAGCCAUUAGAGAAAUGCAAAUUAAAACUACGAUGAGAUUCCAUCUCACACCAACUAGACUGGCAUUAAUCCAAAAAACACAAAAUAAUAAAUGUUGGAGAGGCUGCGGAGAGAUUGGAACUCUCAUACACUGCUGGUGGGAUUGUAAAAUGGUACAACCACUUUGGAAAUCCAUCUGGCGUUAUCUUAAACAGUUAGAAAUAGAACUACCAUACAACCCAGAAAUCCCACUCCUUGGAAUAUACCCUAAAGAUACAAGAGCCUUCACACAAACAGAUAUAUGCACACCCAUGUUUAUUGCAGCUCUGUUUACAAUAGCAAAAAGCUGGAAGCAACCAAGAUGUCCGUCAACGGACGAAUGGGUAAAUAAAUUGUGGUAUAUUCACACAAUGGAAUACUACGCAUCGAUAAAGAACAGUGACGAAUCUGUGAAACAUUUCAUAACAUGGAGGAACCUGGAAGGCAUUAUGCUGAGCGAAAUGAGUCAGUUGCAAAAGGACAAAUAUUGUAUAAGACCACUCUUAUAAGAUCUUGAGAAAUAGAAAAAACGGAGAAGAACACAUACUUAUGUGGUUACAAAGGGGGAGGGAGAGGGCUUUUUAUUGAUCAAUCUGUAGAUAAGAACUGCUUUGGGUGAAGGGAAAGACAACACUCAAUAAAGGAAGGUCAGCCUAAUUGGACUGGAUUAAAAGCAAAGAGGUUUCUGGGAUAAAAUGAAAGCUUCAAAGGUCAGCGGAGCAGGGGCUGGGGUCUGGGGAACUUGGUUUGAGGGGACUUCUAAGUCAAUGGGCAAAAUAAUUCUAUUAAUGAAAACACUCUGCAUCCGACUUUGAAUUGUGGCGCCUGGGGUCCUAAAUGCCAACAAGCAGCCAUCUAAGAUACAUCAAUUGGUCUCAACCCACCUGGAGCAAAGGCAAAGGGAGAACACCAAGGUCACACGACAACUAAGAACCCAAGAGACAGAAAGGGCCAUGUGAACCAGAGACCUACAUUAUCCUGAGACCAGAAGAACUAGUUGGUGCCCGGCCACAAUCGAUGUCUGCCCUGUCAGGGAGCACAACAGACAACUCCUGAGGGAGCAGGAGACCAGUGGAAUACAGACCCCAAAUUCUCAUUAAAAGACCACACCUAAUGGUAUGAUUGUGACUAGAGGAAUCCCAGAGACAAUGCUCCCCAGAACUUCUGAUGGCACAGGACAGGAACCAUCCCCGAAGACAAAUCAUCAGGCAUGAAAAGGACUGGUCAGUGGAGGGGAGAGAGAUGCUGAUGAAGAGUGAGCUAAUUAAAUCAGGUGGACUCGGGAGAGUGUGUUGGCAACUCUUGACUGGAGAGGGGAUGGGAAGAUAGAGAGAGAGGGAAGAGGGCAAAAUUGGCACGAAACGAGAGACUGAAAGGGCUGACUCAAUAGGGGGAGAGCAAGUGGGAGAAGGGAGUAAGAUGUAUGUAAACCUACAUGUGACAGACUGAUUGGAAUGGUAAAUGUUCACUCGAAGCUUAAUAAAAAAAAAAAAAAAAGUUAGCAACAAAUUAAGACUUGCUCUUAAUUGGAAUACAUACUUCAGGAUUAUAUAUUUGCUUAAGGAAAGCUUUAUCGAUAAACUUUUUACGGCAUAAUCUAUAGUAAAUCCUCCACUUCUCCAGACUGAUAUAGAAAGUAUAAUCUACUUUAUUGAACGAUAUGAUUAAGUUUAUUUUAUUAAUUUGGGAUUGUUUAAUCUACAUUUUGUUUAUAUGACAGUAUCAGUUAGCACUAAAACCAUAUUUAACAUACUCUGUUUUGAUAGUAUGGAAGAAGACUUAAGGGUCUUUAUAGUGUCUUGGGUUCCUCUUGGAAACCCUGCUGCCAUAGUGGUUAAGAGUUCAGGUGUAACCAAAAAGUUGGCAGUUCGAAUCCACUAGGUGCUCCUUGGAAACCCUAUGGGGCAGUUUUACCCUGUCCUACAGGGUCGCUGUGAAUUGGAACCAACUUGACAGCAAGGAGUUUGGUUUUGAUUUUGGAGUUUCUCCUUACAGUAUUAUGUAACACUUUGAUUGUAUUGGCUUAAGGACACUAUAUUGAAUUAAAAAAUCAUAAUUUUUAUGUAUUGCUUUCCUUUUUUCUCCUUUUGGAAUUUCUUUUUUGCCACAGACUUUUUGCAGUAUUAAUAUUUUAUACCUCAUUGUGUGUUUGGUAACUCUUAUUUAUUUAUUUUUUAAGUUUUAAAGAUGUGCAAAAAUUCUGGAGUAUCAGUUACUCAGUUCUACUUUUUUUUACUUCAUGCUCCUCCCCAAUUAUUGGUGUUGUACUUUUUAUCUAAUUUCAAAUUAUCUGUAGCAUGAUACCUUUAUUUUUCUUCCAGCUACUAUUUGUGCAUAUAGCACUUCACCAGGUACAAGUUUGAUAUAAGUAUUUCAUUUUUUUCAUCUCUGAAAUCUCACUCCUGCUAUCCAAUUUGUCAGUCACUGUGCAGAGUGCGGAAACCCUGUAGCAUAGUGGUUGAGAGCUACAGCUGCUAACCAAAACGUUGGCAGUUUGAAUCCACCAGGCGCUCCUUGGAAACCAUAUGGGGCAGCUCUACUCUGCUCUAUAAGGUCACUAUGAGUAGCGACUUGACGGCAACGGGUUUGGUUUUGGUUUGGUGGAGAGUGCUACUGUCUCACCUGCCUCAAAUUGGAAACCCUGAAAGCUGUCUGUUAUUUCUUGACCUUUGCCUUCUCACAUCUAGUCAGGGGCAUUGUUCUCAUUUUUCUCUUGGUACUCUUAGUCACAUUACUUAAUCAAGUACCCGGCCAUUUUGGGGCCUGACGUCCCUUUCCUUAGGUCCUAAAUUCCCAAAUCAGUCUGUUCUGCUGCCAAAGUGUAUUUUCUCACUUUUAAGUUGGCUUCUCAACACCUGCCACACUAACAUCAAGCUCUGAACUUUGCCUUCUGUUGGGCUGUUUAUUACACCCUUUUUCCUUAUACUCUUCUCAUGUCCUUACCUACGUUUCGCUUACUGCUUUUACUUUCCUACUUGUAGUUUGCAUGUAUUUGUUCCUUAUACUUGCUGUCAUAACUCUUUGUCCUGUUUCUACUUUAUCUUUCAAUAAAAUAUAGUUAGAAGUUUGGAUUAGGUGAGAUCAUAUUUAGUCCAUCUAAAAAUAAAUUGGUGUCUACGUACAGAUACAUACUUUGAGAGAAAACCUGUUUACCUGGGGUAGUUAUUUGAGUUUAUUCUAGAGAUGCAUGUUUUGGCAUCUUACAUUAAACUUUACUACCCCCAUAAUUAUGUGAUGUGUAUCUGUUUUUACCUGUACUCCUGAAUUCUAACAUAACAGAACUUUAUUUUAAAUGUGUUUUAAAUAUGCUCUUGAUUCUUCCUUUAUAUUUAUUCCUGCCCAAAUUGAUGAAGGGCUACUAUAUCUGACUUGAAACAUUACAGCUGAAGGGGAUUUGGAGAAUGUGAGUGUUGUAUAUUAGAGGAAAUUAUUAGGAAAAGAGAAAUUAAAGAAUUUAAGUUAUCUAGCCUGGAGACAAGAAAAAUAAACUUAAUUUAAUGAGAUGGAGAAACAAAUCACCAACUUCAUAUGGAAGGGAAAGAGGCCCUGGUUAAGUAAAGCAUUAUUGAAAAAGAAGAACAAAGUGGGAGGCCUCACACUACCUGAUUUUAGAACUUAUUAUACCGCCACAGUAGUCAAAACAGCCUGGUACUGGUACAACAACAGAUACAUAGACCAAUGGAACAGAAUUGAGAAUCCGGACAUAAAUCCAUCCACAUAUGAGCAGCUGAUAUUUGACAAAGGCCAAAGUCAGUUAAAUGGGGAAAAGACAGUCUCUUUAACAAACGCUGGUGGCAUAACUGGAUAUCCAUCUGUAAAAAAAUGAAACAAGACCCAUACCUCACACCAUGUACAAAAACUAACUCAAAAUGGAUCAAAGACCUAAAUAUAAAAAUCUAAAACAAUAAAGAUCGUGGAAGAAAAAAUAGAACAACACUAGGAGCCCUAAUACAUGGCAUAAGCUGGGAGCUUGGAUAACUGGGAGCUCCUAAAAAUCAAACAGCUAUGCUCAUCCAAAGAUGUCACCAAAAGAGUAAAAAGAUUACUUGCAGGCUGGGAAAAAGUUUUUAGCUAUGACAUUUCCAAUCAGAGUCUGAUCUCUGAAAUCCACAUGAUACUGCAGAAACUCAACAACAAAAAGACAAAUAGCCAAUUAAAAAAUGGGCAAAGAAUAUGAACAGGCACUUCACUAAAGAAGGCACUCAGAUAGCUAACAGAUAUUUGAAGAAAUGCUCGUGAUCAUUAGCCAUUAAAAAAAAAAAAGCCAUUGGAGAAGUGCAAAUCAAAACUACAGUGAGAUUCAAUCUCACUCCAACAAGGCUGGCAUUAAUCCAAAAAACACAAAAUAAUAUAUGUUGGAGACACCAUGGAGAGACUGGAACACUUAUACACUGCUGGUGGGAAUGUAGAAUGGUACAACCACUUUGGAAAUCGAUUUGGCACCUCCUUAGAAAGCUAGAAAUAGAACUACCAUAUGAUCUAGCAAUCCCACUCCUUGGAAUAUAUCCUAGAGAAAUAAAAGCCUUUACAUGAACAGAUAUAUGCACACCCAUGUUCAUUGCAACACUGUUUACAAUAGCAAAAAGAUGGAAGCAACCAAGGUGCCCAUCAGUGGAUGAAUGGAUAAAUAAAUUAUGGUAUACUCACACAGUGGUACAAAUAAAUUAUGGUAUGGAUAAAUAAAUUACGGUAUACUCACACGAUGGAAUACUGUGCAAUGAUGAACAAUGAUGAAUCCAUGAAACAUUUCAUAACAUGGAGGAAUCCGGAAGGCAUUAUGCUGAGUAAGAUUAGUCAGUUGCAAAAGGACAAAUAUUGUAUGAGACCACUAUUGCAAGAACUCAAGAAAUAGUUUAAACAUAGAAGAAAAUAUUCUUUGAUGGUUAAGAGAGUGGGGAGGGAGGGAGUAUUCACUAAUUAGGCAGUAGACGAAAACUGUUUUAAGUGAAGGGAAAGACAACACACAGUACAGGAGAGGUCAGCAGAACUGGACUAAAGCAAAAGCAAAGAAUUUUCCUGAAUAAACUGAACACUUCAAAGGCCCGUGUAGCAAGGGCUGGGGUUUGGGAACCAUGGUUUCAGGGGACAUCUAGGUCAAUUGGCAUGAUAAAGUCUAUUAAGAAAACAUUCUGCAUCCCGCUUUGGAGAGUGGCAUCUGGGGUGUUAAACUCUAGCAAGUGGUCAUCUAAGAUGCAUCAAUUGGUCUCAGCCCACCUGGAGCAAAGGAGAAUGAAGAACACCAAAGACACCAGGUAAUUAUGAGCCCAAGAGACAGAAAGGGCCACGUAAACCAGAGACUACAUCAGCCUGAGACCAGGGGAACUAGAUGGUGCCUGGCUACAACAGAUGACUGCCCUGACAGGGAACACAACAGAAAACCCCUGAAGGAGCAGGAUAGUAGUGGGAUGCAGACCUCAAAUUCUCAUAAAAAGACCAGACUUAAUGGUCUAACUGAGACUGGAAGGACCCUUGUGGUCAUGGUCCCCAGACCUUCUGUUAGCCUAGGACAGGAACCAUUCCCAAAGCCAACUCUUCAGACGGGGAUUGGACUGGACUAUAAGGCAGAAAAUGAUACCGGUGAGGAGUGAGCUUCUUGGAUCAAGUAGACACAUGAGACUAUGUGGGCGUCUCCUGUCUGGAGGCAAGAUGAGAAAGCAGAGGGAGACAGAAGCUGGCUGAAUGGACACGGACAUAGAGGUGGAGAGGAGUGUGCUGUCUCAUUAGGGGGAGAGCAACUAGGAGUGUAUAGCAAGGUGUGUAUAAAUUUUUGUAUGAGAGACUGACUUGAUUUGUAUAUAAAAAAAUUUUUUUUCUUUUGCUUUCACUUAAACCACAAUAAAAACUUAAAAAGAAAAAGCCUCAAAAAAAGAAAAACUUCAUUGUCUGAUUAACUUUCAAGUUGCAGAUAGGAACAAAUGGUUUAGAUAAAUUGAAAAAAAGACAAAAGAUAUAAAUGUAACUCUGUAUCCUUCACUUUCCCCAUUCCCUAGUUUGCAACCUUCUAUUGCCAGUGGAGUAAAGCAGGGCCUUCAUUUCUUUGACGAAGAAACAGCCUUUCUUGUCUACUCUGUUGGCAUACCUUGGACAGAGCCUAGAAGUCCACCUAGCCAUAUGACAGAGUCGGCCUAUUUGACUUUCUAAUCAGACCACAAGAUGCUGUGAGCUGGCAGUUUUGUUAGCUGUGAAGUGUUUGCAGCAUUGCUUAAAACCUGGGAGAUGCUAUUAAGGGAGAAAUGUUGCUGAGGUGCUGCUGAAAGGGCCAGAGAUGCAAGGAUUUGGGACACAUUUUGAACCUUUAAGCUGUAUGACAUUGACCUCCUUUCAUAAUUAAUAAAGAAGAAGCAGGAGCUUAGGAUAUAUUAACACCAACUCAUUAAUGUACUAACCCGACAAUGUUCUGCAAAUAAUUCUACAGUGUAAAGAACUGGAUUGGGACAAAAUAAGAUAAUUUCAUAUUUUACUCAGCUUAUAAUAUGACUCGAUG